AGCCCGCUCAGAAACUCAAAUGGAAGUUGACGGGGGCCCGCACAAGCGGUGGAGCAUUGUGGUUUAAUUCGAUGAUACGCGAGGAACCUUACCUGGGCUCAAAUGUAUGUUGACGUAUUCUGAAAGGGAUACUUCUUCGGACAAUAUACAAGGUGCUGCAUGGUUGUCGUCAGCUCGUGCCGUGAGGUGUCGGGUUAAGUCCCGCAACGAGCGCAACCCUUGCCUUUAGUUGCCAGCAGUUCGGCUGGGCACUCUAAAGGGACUGCCGGUGUUAAACCGGAGGAAGGUGGGGAUGACGUCAAGUCCUCAUGGCCUUUAUGACCAGGGCUACACACGUACUACAAUGGCCGAUACAAAGGGCAGCGACACUGCGAGGUGAAGCCAAUCCCGUAAAAUCGGUCUCAGUCCGGAUUGGAGUCUGCAACUCGACUCCAUGAAGUUGGAAUCGCUAGUAAUCGUGGAUCAGCAUGCCACGGUGAAUACGUUCCCGGGCCUU
rnacentral:rRNA from 1 species